rnacentral:rRNA from 1 species
UGGGGAAUAUUGGACAAUGGGCGAAAGCCUGAUCCAGCCAUGCCGCGUGUGUGAAGAAGGUCUUCGGAUUGUAAAGCACUUUAAGUUGGGAGGAAGGGCAGUAAGCGAAUACCUUGCUGUUUUGACGUUACCGACAGAAUAAGCACCGGCUAACUCUGUGCCAGCAGCCGCGGUAAUACAGAGGGUGCAAGCGUUAAUCGGAAUUACUGGGCGUAAAGCGCGCGUAGGUGGUUCGUUAAGUUGAAUGUGAAAGCCCCGGGCUCAACCUGGGAACUGCAUCCAGAACUGGCGAGCUAGGGUAGGGCAGAGGGUGGUGGAAUUUCCUGUGUAGCGGUGAAAUGCGUAGAUAUAGGAAGGAACACCAGUGGCGAAGGCGACCACCUGGGCUCAUACUGACACUGAGGUGCGAAAGCGUGGGGAGCAAACAGG